GUGGGAGACGGCGCAGACACAAAGGCAAACAAUCCCAAACACAGGCUUUGCCCUCCUUGUACGUUGAGACAAAGGAAGCAGAAAUGAGCCUGGGAUCACAGUCUGCGCUGAGCAGCAUGGAGCAAACAGGGCGUCCCCUUCUCAGUGACAGAGGGACUUGGGCUGACCAACCGUCUUGGCUUCCCUGGGACUGUCCCAGCUCAGCACUGAAAAUCUCAUGCCGAUGAAAACCCCCGCAGGCCUGGGCAGAUGGGAACCUUGGUCACUCUUGCAGAAACUUGAGUCAGACAACAGAGCCGCUGAGUACACCCCAACACAGAGGAGCCAGCGCUCACCGAGAGAUUUGCCAAGUGGAGUCCUUUUGAGACAUCCAAAUUUCACUGUCUUCAACUUAUUAAUGUGAAACAAAGAAUAACGUAUAUGUGUGUGUAAACACGAAUAGUAACAGCUUAUAUUUGUAAACAAUGUGCCGUGCGCCCAGCACUACAUUAAGCAGUCUCCAUGCAGCACCUCCAUUAAUCCUGGGGAGCACUGUACCCACUUCAAGAGGCCUUUAGAAGAGCAAGUAACAAAAACUGGUGGAAAAAAAGCACACAUUCAACAGGAAGCAACAUCUAGAGACCUUUCUGCCUUCCAGGAUACAAAAAGAAAACAGUUCAUAAACAACUUACAUCUAAACCAGUAAUGUUGUCUCCCUGGCUCAUAGGAGCUGAAGAAGAAUUCCAGUUACUGUAGUAAGAAUAUAAGGAUGUGGACUGGUUUGAGGAUGCUUGAGGCAUGACUAUAGCAAGUACUGCGCAUACAUAUGUGGACAUCGUAAGACACACUCUCUGCUUCCCCAGGCGAAAUCUGAAUUCCAUGAUCUACACACAGAUGACACCAAAAUCGGAACAGCAAUGUCCACCCUUCUCCCGAGCCCUAGGUCGGUGCCUCUGUCCACCUGUGUCUCCUGAAACUUCAACACAGACUUCAAAUGGAGUGGCAGAAAACCAGAUUCCUUAGGGAAAGGAAGGUCUCCCAGACGGCAGGAGCGGCAGGCCUUAGGGGCAGCCGCAGGGGCUCGGGAGUCUGAACAUACCCGGUUUGAAUUCAGACUCUGGCACGCCCCAUGCGAUCAUAACAUAGUGCUGCACGUCUCAAGCCACCUAUAAAAACGGGGACAAUAACAAUAUCUGCCUCGGGGUUAAUGGAUUAGAUGUGUCGGUCCAUAGACGUUGCUGGCCACAUAGUUAAGUGGUGCGUUCACUCACUGGGCAUUGAUGGAGCGCCUACUACGUGCCAGGCCUGUUUUACGCGCCGGGGGCCCAGAGGCGCCCAGGUCAGACAAAGUGUAAACGAUUCCGACCAGAGCCCUUCAAUCUGCAUUCCGCUUCGCAGGAAACUCUCCUCCUUUUAUGAUUUUCAGCCGGACUGCCUUCCCUGUUGUUAGUUUGUAACUUUCGCUCCGGCCCCCGCAGCCUCGCGCCUGCCUUCCCUCCACUGUCCUCAGCCAAGGUGUAGUAAAGCGUCUCCGAACGCGGCGCGACCCUCGCCCACGCCCGCUCGCGGGGGGACCGCACCGCCCCAGGGGUCCUCGCUAGGGGUUCCCGGAGAAGGGGUGGGAGAUGGGGGUGCGGGGGGGCACAGGAGCGCGGGCCAGCACCCAGACCUGCUCGGUACCGGGGACCCAGACCCGAGGAUGCCGGGCGGCCAAGGCCCCGCUACCCUGGCCGGCUCCGGGCGGAGGAAGAAGAGGAGGCGCCCAGACUGGAUACCCGCCUGGACCCGGAGCCGCGGCACCACCCCCAGCCCGCCCCACGCUCGCCAGCCUCAGACGGCCGCGCCCCG
rnacentral:lncRNA from 1 species